AGGACGAACGCUGGCGGCGUGCUUAACACAUGCAAGUCGAACGGUAAGGCCCUUCUGGGUACACGAGUGGCGAACGGGUGAGUAACACGUGGGUGAUCUGCCCUGCACUUCGGGAUAAGCUUGGGAAACUGGGUCUAAUACCGGAUAUGACUACGAAUCGCAUGGUUUGUGGUGGAAAGCUUUUGCGGUGUGGGAUGGGCCCGCGGCCUAUCAGCUUGUUGGUGGGGUGAUGGCCUACCAAGGCGACGACGGGUAGCCGGCCUGAGAGGGUGUCCGGCCACACUGGGACUGAGACACGGCCCAGACUCCUACGGGAGGCAGCAGUGGGGAAUAUUGCGCAAUGGGCGAAAGCCUGACGCAGCGACGCCGCGUGGGGGAUGAAGGCCUUCGGGUUGUAAACCCCUUUCAGCAGGGACGAAGCGAAAGUGACGGUACCUGCAGAAGAAGCGCCGGCUAACUACGUGCCAGCAGCCGC
rnacentral:rRNA from 1 species